UCUAGUAUGGCAGAAUAGUGCAAUAAAUUUAAGAUUUAUAUAUGAGUAAAACUCUACUAGAA
rnacentral:tRNA from 1 species